GUGCUCGAUUUGACAGCACAUAUCCUAAAAUAGGAACAAUAUAGAGAAGAUUAGUAUGGCCCCU
rnacentral:snRNA from 1 species